UCCUCUAUGGCGCAAUUGGAUAGCGCGUUCGGCUGUUAGAGUCCAUGAUUCAAGCAGAUAACCGGAAGGUUCUUAGUUCAAGCCUAAGUAGGGGAG